CAGCCGGGGAAGUAGCGGAUCCCUUUACCUGAAGUCCGCUUUAGCAGGGGUGAUGAUUUGCCUCGGGUUUAGAUGGUAAGGCUGCCCUUUAUAAGCGAUGUUGACGUUUGGGUCUUAUGCAUUAGAACUCUAUGAACCGUGUCAGGUCAGGAAUGAAGCAGCACUAAGUAGAUAAUUCUAAGUGACAUGAGGGUGCCUAGACCGAGUUGGCUGUAGAGGUAACGCUUAUG
rnacentral:SRP_RNA from 1 species